UGCAGUUCUUGACUGUGGACAACCGCCUCUUUUAUUAUUUUAAACCUCAUUCCUCUCGCCUGAAGCAGCUCUUAAAAGCUGCAGACAACUGCCUGUUUUGAAGUUUCUAGUCCUUCUCUGCCUAACCCUAAGUGGAAUCAGUGCCGGGUCAGCACUGUUCCAACUGAGUCUGUAUCCUACCGCACCUCCAGCAACACUUUAAAAAAUGAAGUUUAAAACCAGCACUAGCAUAAAUACCUGUUGCUCACUGUGCCCGAUAUGAUCUUCUUUUUCUUUCCUUCUCGUGGAGCCCCACACAUAAGACAGCGACCCCUCAAUGUUUUCCCGCCGUUUCUAGAUCCCUGGUUUAGGGCGCCAACCUGUAGUAGGAGGCCGGCCUGCAGCUUACAGACGCUCCAUAGAAAAUCCCAAGAAGAACUGGGGUUAAUUUCAUGCAAGCCAGUGUGACUUCAUGUGGCACACACUGUUCUGAUUUUCUUGCAGAUAUAGCCAAGGUAAAAGACACAGAUAUUGAACAACAGCAACAACAAGCUCUCCAUAGUAAAGAGAAUUUUCCUCAUAAGUAAUUUUCCUGUGGAGAUCAACAGAAAAGAGCUCGUGAAGCAGUCGGGUUGUACAUUCUGUUUGCCAGGCCGAGGCAGUGGGAAGGGCAUCAGUGAGAUGUAGGUUUGUUUGAUUCUCCUUCCAGCCAUAAUGAAAAUGUAUAGAAGCACAGCAAACCCCACUGGCGAUUAAAGAUGAGGCAGGGGAGUUGGGGGAAUGGCUUUUUAAGCAAGAGCACUGACUGCUCUACCACAGGAAUGAGAUUCUAAUCUCAGCACCCCACAUUGCUUCUUACAUCCAUCUGUAAGGCCAGUUCCAGCCCUCUUCUGAUGUUGAUUUGCACUGCAUGCAUAUAGUACACAGGUACUCAUGUGCAGGCAAUACAGGUGAAAUAAACUUAGAAAUAAAAGCAUUCUCCCUGCCUCUGACGAUGCCAAAGCUCCAUGCCUUUGUAAGUAAGAGAACUCCUUGUGCACUGCUUGUUUGACAUCUGGCGUUCACUUCUGAUUGCUGAUUUAUGAUAGAAUAUUCAGUGGAGUACAACUCUCUAUAGUCACUGAUAUGAACCUGAAUACAAAGGUCAUGAAGUGCAGGCCCAAUAAUGCCAAAGAAGGAUAUCCUCUUCCAGCUGGUCCUGCAGGAUUUAUCACAGCACCUCUAUGGUCCUCUCUUGCCUGUUAAGUCUCUCUAUAAAGGACACUCUAUGGAUGGAUGGCAUAGUGUGUGGCCUGGCCUCACUGCAGCACCCUCUGUAACAUAGGAGUCAAUGAGCCAGUGGAAAGCUGAAGCUAAUCUGGUGUGAACCAAUGUGGCUAUAUCUUCUACAGGCAGAAAUGAGUGAGCCACUCUGUUUAUUUUCAUGCAGAAUCAACUCAUCUAGAAUACUGGGACCUGAGAAAUAAAUCGUCUACUGUUUCUCCUGUGGUCAACAUACUUCUGGUCCCAGAACAAAAAACAGAAGAUAAAUAAAUAAAGUAGAAGAAAAGAAAAAAAGAGGAGGCACUACUUUUUAUUAAAAGCCUCCAUACUGCUCCAUAUCGUGUAGAAGACACCAGACUUCCCGGCUCUGGGCACCUGUGACACAUGCUGCUACCUGGGCUGUUUAUGAACAACAAUCUUUGGGACCAGCCUCAGAGUAACUUCAACAGCUGUCUGCAUAGAUCAAGGCAGAUCUCUAUGAUCAACUUCAGGUCCCUAUUUCUCUUGCCUAUUUAGGCAAAUUAACAUCUCUUUAUGAUAUAUUCUUAGAACUUUGUGUUUCUAUGUGCUUUUAGCUUCAUUAAAGGUCCAUAAACUGAGUCCCUUUGUUUUUUAUUUAAGUCUGAGUAUUCCUAUGGAGUCCAGAAUACAGUAUUAAAUAGCUGUGAUGAUAGUAAUUGUGCCCCACCGAAUGUGACUACUUAGAACUGAACUCCAGUUCUCUGCAAGAGCAGCCAACAUACUUAGCUACUGAGCCACUGUUUCAGCACCUACAUCUCCAUCUUGGAGGCACAUUUGAUAUUUUGAUAGGAUCUGGCCACAGAUUCAGACAGGUUUAAAUGUACUCUCACAGACUAUCUGCAACACCAAAGAGAAGAGGAAAACUGUCUACAAGAGGGAGACAUCAUCCCUGAGAAUCCUAUGUAGUGCAUCCCAUGUAGUAUGCCUGAAUUCUGGAAGCUGACCUUUGGUUCCAUUCCUCUGGAGACUCUUCAUAAGUCCACUGGGUACCUGAGUAGUCUAAGACAGCCAACUUCAGGGGUGCUUCUUCAAAAGCUGGCUUGGUCCCAGGAGAACACUCCAGAUGACCAGUUCUCACACAAAGGUGAUAAAGGCCAUGGCCCUGCCACAGCAUUGUGGAAACAUGGUUCAGGGCCUUGCACUUGCAAGGCAAGCAUUCUUUCCAAGAACCACACCCUCAGUCACAAAACCUCUUUGGAAAGUAGUUUUCAUUGAAGGAACAUGGAUAUUUUCCUGAAAGUGUCAAAUUGCAUAUCUUUAUAUUUUAAAAAUGUUUUCUUAAGUAGCAAUUAACCAGUUACCAUUAUAGUCCAUAAAGGUCAGAAAUUUUUCAGCAUAUCACAAAGAAAGGUAAAUAUAUUACUUAUUUUAAAAUGUGAUUUUAUAAAAUGCACAUCAGUGAAGCCUGCCUCAUUCGACAUUUCUCCCCUGGAAAAGUUAGUCCUUUAUUGAAUGAAUGCCACUUUCUGAGUGCAAAGAAGCCACUCCAGCAUGGAUUGGAAACUUUUGAGAUAUACCGAUUUUAUCUGUGUGUUUGUGUAUUGAUCAUAUGGGACACUUGCAUAUGUGUGUACAUGUAUGUAGACAUCAGAGGUCAACUUCAGAUGUUUGUUGUUCCUCAGGAACCAUCCACGUUUUUUUGGUUGGUUGGUUGGUUGGUUGGGUUUUUUUGUUUUUUGUUUUU